rnacentral:rRNA from 12 species
UCCGAAUGGGGCAACCCACUAUAUUGAAGAUAUAGUAUCCUUUAAGGAGGCGAACCCGGAGAACUGAAACAUCUAAGUACCCGGAGGAGAAGAAAACAAAAGUGAUUCCGUUAGUAGUGGCGAGCGAACGCGGAUUAGCCCAAACCAUAGUUGUUACGGCAAUUGUGGGGUUGUAGGACCACGACAUUUGAGUGUGAUUGAAUUAGAAUCCUUUGGAAAGAGGAACCAUAGAGGGUGAUAGUCCCGUAUAAGUAAGAGAUCAUGAGAUAGUGGUAUCCUGAGUAGCGCGGGGCACGUGUAACCCUGUGUGAAUUUGGCGGGACCAUCCGUUAAGGCUAAAUACUCCUGAGAGACCGAUAGUGAACUAGUACCGUGAGGGAAAGGCGAAAA